rnacentral:rRNA from 1 species
CCUACGGGAGGCAGCAGUGAGGAAUAUUGGUCAAUGGCCGGAAGGCUGAACCAGCCAUGCCGCGUGAAGGUCAGUGCCCUAUGGGCGUUAAACUUCUUUUGUGCGGGAGCAAUAAUGGUCACGUGUGGCCAGACGAGAGUACCGUACGAAUAAGCAUCGGCUAACUCCGUGCCAGCAGCCGCGGUAAUACGGGGGAUGCAAGCGUUAUCCGGAUUUAUUGGGUUUAAAUGGUGCGUAGGCUGUGAGGUAAGUCAGCGGUGAAAUGCCCCCGCUCAACGGGGUGAAGGGCCAUUGAUACUGCCUGGCUGGAAUGCGGAUGCGGUGGGAGGAAUGUGUGGUGUAGCGGUGAAAUGCAUAGAUAUCACACAGAACACCGAUUGCGAAGGCAUCUCACGAAUCCGCGAUUGACGCUGAUGCACGAAAGCGUGGGUAUCAAACAGGAUUAGAUACCCUAGUAGUC